GAUGAACGCUGGCGGCGUGCCUAAUACAUGCAAGUCGAGCGAACAGACGAGGAGCUUGCUCCUCUGACGUUAGCGGCGGACGGGUGAGUAACACGUGGAUAACCUACCUAUAAGACUGGGAUAACUUCGGGAAACCGGAGCUAAUACCGGAUAAUAUAUUGAACCGCAUGGUUCAAUAGUGAAAGACGGUUUUGCUGUCACUUAUAGAUGGAUCCGCGCCGCAUUAGCUAGUUGGUAAGGUAACGGCUUACCAAGGCAACGAUGCGUAGCCGACCUGAGAGGGUGGUCGGCCACACUGGAACGGAGACACGGUCCAGACGCCUACGGGAGGCAGCAGUAGGGAAUCUUCCGCAAUGGGCGAAAGCCUGACGGAGCAACGCCGCGUGAGUGAUGAAGGUCUUCGGAUCGUAAAACUCUGUUAUUAGGGAAGAACAAAUGUGUAAGUAACUAUGCACGUCUUGACGGUACCUAAUCAGAAAGCCACGGCUAACUACGUG
rnacentral:rRNA from 1 species